CCUACGGGAGGCAGCAGUAAGGAAUAUUGGUCAAUGGACGCAAGUCUGAACCAGCCAUGCCGCGUGAAGGAUUAAGGCCCUCUGGGUUGUAAACUUCUUUUAUAGGGGACGAAAAAAGGGCAUUCUUGCUCACUUGACGGUACCCUAGGAAUAAGCACCGGCUAACUCCGUGCCAGCAGCCGCGGUAAUACGGAGGGUGCAAGCGUUAUCCGGAUUUACUGGGUUUAAAGGGUGCGUAGGUGGGUUGGUAAGUCAGUGGUGAAAUCUUCGAGCUUAACUCGGAAACUGCCAUUGAUACUAUCAAUCUUGAAUCAUCUAGAGGUAAGCGGAAUAUGUCAUGUAGCGGUGAAAUGCUUAGAUAUGACAUAGAACACCAAUUGCGAAGGCAGCUUACUAUGGAUGUAUUGACACUGAGGCACGAAAGCGUGGGGAUCAAACAGGAUUAGAUACCCUGGUAGUCCACGCCCUAAACGAUGGAUACUCGACAUUUGUGAUAUACUAUAAGUGUNUGNGNGAAGANAUAAGUAUCCACCGCGGAGUAACGACCGCGAGUUAGUAACGUUACGAAGAAGUUAGAGGCGNGAGAGNGCGACGACGACGACGAGGGAGGAGG
rnacentral:rRNA from 1 species